UACGUAGGGGGCAAGCGUUGUCCGGAUUUAUUGGGCGUAAAGAGCUCGUAGGCGGUCUGUCGCGUCGGGAGUGAAAACUCAGGGCUUAACCCUGAGCCUGCUUCCGAUACGGGCAGACUAGAGGUAUGCAGGGGAGAACGGAAUUCCUGGUGUAGCGGUGAAAUGCGCAGAUAUCAGGAGGAACACCGAUGGCGAAGGCAGGUCUCUGGGCCACUACUGACGCUGAGAAGCGAAAGCAUGGGGAGCGAACAGG
rnacentral:rRNA from 1 species